rnacentral:tRNA from 1 species
GAAAUAUUUAUUGUUAAGCUUCUAACUUAAUUAUUAGCGAAAAAAUUUCGUUAAUAUUUCU